AUGAGGAAGAGGGAUGAAUUUGAGAAUUGUGGAAGAUUGAUGGAGAUUACUAGUUUAAAGAAUGCGGUAUGUGAGCUUUUGAGUCUAUUAUUGGUCAGUUCUUGGUUGGUAUAUGGAGUUAAGUGUAAGGUUUAUGUGUUAGGGCAGUGUAAGGGGAAGGCAAAAGGAGGAUCGGGUGGUACGAAGGUUAUUGAAAGAAGGUGUAGUGUUGAGGAUGUAGCGAGGAUAUUUCGAAGGUCGCGGUUGGACAGUAUGAUACAAGGAUGGUUUUAUUUGGGCAGCAUAGGACUGUUUGAAAAGCAGGGCAUUUGGACUGGUUUUGGGUUUUUGGAUAGCAAGUACAAUAGGUUUAUAAUAGGUUUUAUGGACUGGCAUAGGGGCAUCGACAAGGUAUUUUAG